rnacentral:misc_RNA from 1 species
AUUAGGGACUGAGUUUUCUACCAUGUUGAGAGCUUUUGUCCUCAUUACAGUGUCUGUCCCACAUGAAAUUGUGUCCAUAUUUGAUUCAACUCCACCAUCUUGAUAUGAUGAACUGAGUGAUCUAUUUGAAUUAGCUGUUGAACUUNNNNNNNAAUUCCUCAAACUUAGACUGAGCAGCAAUGAACGCAGGUUUGCUAACUUUUCUUGAUCCAAAUACAAACUUCUUUCCUUCAUUCUCUAGCUGUUCAGAGGCAUUCCUUUUCAUAGAUCGUUUGGGUUGAUCAGUUUGUUCACCUUCUAUUUCUGCCUUACAAGAAAUUUCCAUUUGACAAUUUACAUCAGAUUCCAUUGUUUG